rnacentral:rRNA from 1 species
UACGUAGGCAGCAAGCGUUGUUCGGAAUUACUGGGCGUAAAGAGUGUGUAGGCGGUGCUCUAAGUCUGUUGUGAAAUCUCCCGGCUUAACUGGGAGGGUGCGGCGGAAACUGGAGUGCUCGAGGGUGGGAAGAGGUAAGCGGAAUUCCUGGUGUAGCGGUGAAAUGCGUAGAUAUCAGGAGGAACACCUGUGGUGUAGACAGCUUACUGGACCACUUCUGACGCUGAGACACGAAAGCGUGGGUAGCAAACAGG